rnacentral:rRNA from 1 species
UACAGAGGUCUCAAGCGUCGUUCGGAUUCAUUGGGCGUAAAGGGUGCGUAGGCGGCGCGGUAAGUCGGGUGUGAAAUCUCGGAGCUUAACUCCGAAACUGCAUUCGAUACUGCCGUGCUUGAGGACUGGAGAGGAGACUGAAAUUUACGGUGUAGCGGUGAAAUGCGUAGAUAUCGUAAGGAAGACCAGUGGCGAAGGCGGGUCUCUGGACAGUUCCUGACGCUGAGGCACGAAGGUCAGGGGAGCAAACGGG